GAGGGACAUGUGUCUUUCUACGUGUCACAGCUGCCACUGAUGUCGCCUGCCACGACCUUCGUUGUCUCAUCUUAAUGGCUGGCAUCGAGAAAUGUGAGAUCCGGGGGGCCCUAUACUCCCGGAACCGUAGUCCCUGCUCAGGAUCUGGGGUUAAAGCCCCUUCCCGGCCGGGACUAAAGGCCGAUUGUGUAUUGAUCUCACAUGUUGAUCAAUUGCAUUAACAUUGACGAACUUGAUUGUGAGCAGCCCAUUAAGAUGGCCUACAAAUCCAGAUUGGCCUAUGUGAAGUCCUGAAACCUCU
rnacentral:lncRNA from 1 species